UCAUUUGCUUCUCAGUUUGGCAGGCCUCCUGUCAUUUGAAUUCAGCAUGCUGCCUGAUAGCCAGGGCACAUCCUUGGACAUCCUCAGGAGCCACACUCACCCCCUUCCUGUGACACCUGCUAAGCAGAUUGCUAGCCUUGGGUCCACCUUCCCAGGCCUUCUGCUUCUAUGCCAAGGACAUGGAACCCCCUUUAGGUCUUCAUCGCUGACUCCAGCAGGGUCUGUGGGAUCACUGAAGCAAAGAGUCAUUCCUGGUGUUACUGGUGGUGGUCACAGGGCAGUGAGACCAGGGACAGCUCCAGGGUGGACAAGGUAUUGGCUUCUGACAAGAGGCUUGAGCAAAUGUGUGAAUAUGCUGAGAGAAAUACAGACAAUCCUCUUAUUGUCGGGGUUACAGAGAGUAAGAAGAGAAGGCUAUGUGCUUUCCACAGAAAGGACAAAUUUGAAAUAACCAAAAGUUAGCAACAACGUGCAGGGUUCAUACCACAUGUAGGGAUUACACUAAGGCACCAUGAUGAUAGCACAAAAGCCAGGAAGGCAGGAAGGAUGGGUAGACUAAUGUUUCUUUCUUUAUAUGUGGAAUGCUAUAAUCAUAUUUUAAGAAAUAUCAUUGGUAAGUUCCAAAGCAUAUUCAAAUUUCUAGGGAAACUACCG
rnacentral:lncRNA from 1 species